GCCGGUGUGGCUCAGUGGAUGGAGCAUUCGCCUGCAGAGGGAAGGGUCCCGGGUUCGAUUCCGGUCAAGGGCA
rnacentral:tRNA from 1 species